GACUCUCUCCUAAUUCUAAAAGCUGUCUAAAGCUGGUAGAUCCUGGCACUGAUUUUGCUCUCAACAUUAACACUACAGUCUAGAGCUGAUACUUCCCCCUUUGGCUAACAAAUGGCUGCUGGUCCUUCCCUGGCAGGGAGGAAGGGAGCUGCCUGGGAUCCCCCAAGCUCUGCCCUGCUGCUCCACUUUGUCUUCCUUACAUUUCAGCAUAACCAGAGAGCAUGCACACUACUGUGUGUCUCUAAGCAAUACCCUUCUCCCUGCUGUGUGUCUGGUAGGAGAGCAAAGCGGGGUACAGCCAGCCUCUGAGCUCUGGGGACAGACAGAGGUGCUGGAGGGGGGCAGCUGGGGGUGCUGAGAGGCUUGGACCCUGUUCCUGCAGCUAGACAGUGGAUGUUUAGGUUCCGUGCUGCUGGCAGGGCUGCAUGGGAUGGAUAGGGAGACAGCAGCUCAUGAUUCCAUGCUGCCGUCCUGCUUGCAGAGCGGGUCUGCUCACCUUUGCCAGCCAGGCUGAGCUCUGCCUUCACUCCUCUGGGGCCUGCAGAGCUCCUGGCUCAGGGAGAACAAGCUGCACCUUUCUCAGGCUCACGGAAUGCCAGCUCCAGAUCUGGUACCCUGGCACCUGAGAGAGCAGCUUUGCUUCCCGAGGCCAGGCUCAGCUCGGAUAUGGUCUCCUCUAUGGGCAGGCUGAGCUGGAGUCAGAGCCACCACCAAGCUGCUCCCUGUAGAACAACCUUCCCCUCCACCCCUUAGCUCUUGCCCUGUGCCACUAACACUUGUGGCUGAUAACAGGCAGCAGAUACCAGGGCUUCUUGCUGCCUCCACCUUCCUCUAGAGGAGGCGCCUCCAGUUUCCUUCUGUGGGUGAUCCCAAACGUUCUUUUCCCUGCACCCUCCUUCCCCUGUCAGACUCGGAGGGAGCCAAGGCCUAUGAAUGAAGCCUUUUGGAUGGAAUUGCCAAUGCCCCCCCUUCCCUCUGCCACUGAGGUACCCAAGGGUGAGGGUACGCGGCUUCAGAAAGAAGUUUCCUACAUCGAGAUGUUUUUAAAUGGUGUAUAUUUUAUAUUAAAAUUUUUGGGAUGUAUGUACAAA
rnacentral:lncRNA from 1 species